rnacentral:rRNA from 1 species
UACGUAGGUGGCAAGCGUUGUUCGGAAUUAUUGGGCGUAAAGGGCGCGUAGGCGGUCUUGUAAGUCAGCUGUGAAAGCCCGGGGCUCAACCCCGGAGGGUCGGCUGAUACUGCAGGACUGGAGUACGGAAGAGGUAGCUGGAAUUCCCGGUGUAGCGGUGAAAUGCGUAGAUAUCAGGAGGAACACCAAUUGCGAAGGCAGCUCGCUGGGACGUUACUGACGCUGAGACGCGAAAGCGUGGGGAGCAAACAGG